UAGUCCACGCUGUAAACGAUGAUUACUCGUUGUGUGCGAUAUAUUGUACGCGACUGAGCGAAAGCAUUAAGUAAUCCACCUGGGGAGUACGUCGGCAACGAUGAAACUCAAAGGAAUUGACGGGGGCCCGCACAAGCGGAGGAACAUGUGGUUUAAUUCGAUGAUACGCGAGGAACCUUACCUGGACUUAAAUGCAGGACGACGUUCGCCGAAAGGUGUUCUCCCUUCGGGGCGGACUGCAAGGUGCUGCAUGGUUGUCGUCAGCUCGUGCCGUGAGGUGUCGGGUUAAGUCCCAUAACGAGCGCAACCCCUAUCGUUAGUUGCCAGCUGGUAAAGCAGGGGACUCUAACGAAACUGCCGGUGUAAACCGUGAGGAAGGUGGGGAUGACGUCAAAUCAGCACGGCCCUUAUGUCCAGGGCUACACACGUGUUACAAUGGACCAAUACAAAGGGCUGCUACUUGGUAACAAGAUGCAAAUCUACCAAAAUUGGUACUCAGUUCGGAUCGAAGUCUGCAACG
rnacentral:rRNA from 1 species